rnacentral:rRNA from 1 species
UACGAAGGGGGCUAGCGUUGUUCGGAAUCACUGGGCGUAAAGGGUGCGUAGGCGGGUUUUUAAGUCAGAGGUGAAAUCCUGGAGCUCAACUCCAGAACUGCCUUUGAUACUGAAAGUCUUGAGUAUGGGAGAGGUGAGUGGAACUGCGAGUGUAGAGGUGAAAUUCGUAGAUAUUCGCAAGAACACCAGUGGCGAAGGCGGCUCACUGGCCCAUAACUGACGCUGAGGCACGAAAGCGUGGGGAGCAAACAGG